rnacentral:rRNA from 1 species
GAUGAACGCUGGCGGCGUGCCUAAUACAUGCAAGUCGAGCGAACAGACGAGGAGCUUGCUCCUCUGACGUUAGCGGCGGACGGGUGAGUAACACGUGGAUAACCUACCUAUAAGACUGGGAUAACUUCGGGAAACCGGAGCUAAUACCGGAUAAUAUAUUGAACCGCAUGGUUCAAUAGUGAAAGACGGUUUUGCUGUCACUUAUAGAUGGAUCCGCGCCGCAUUAGCUAGUUGGUAAGGUAACGGCUUACCAAGGCAACGAUGCGUAGCCGACCUGAGAGGGGGAGUGGCCACACUGGAACUGAGACACGGUCCCGACUCCGACGGGGGGCAGCAGGAGGGAAUCUUCCCGAAUGGGCGAAAGCCCGAAGGAGCAACGCCGCGGGAGGGAUGAAGGGUUUUGGGUCCUAAAACCUUUUUUUUAGGGAAAAAAAAAAUGUUAAAGAACCUAUCCCGUUUUUAAGGGUCCCAAUUAAAAAAGCCCCGGUAACCUCGGU